rnacentral:rRNA from 1 species
UGGCUCAGAACGAACGCUGGCGGCGUACUUAACACAUGCAAGUCGAACGAGGAGCUUCGGUGUAGCAAUACAUCGGAGCUUCUAGUGGCGAACGGGUGAGUAACACGUGGGGAACCUGUCCUCCAGUCGGGGAUACCCGCUCGAAAGGGCGGCUAAUACCGGAUGCGUUCUCGGGGUCGCAAGAUCUUGAGAGGAAAGGCGGCGAAAGCUGUCGCUGGUGGAGGGCCUCGCGGCCUAUCAGCUAGUUGGUGAGGUAACGGCUCACCAAGGCUAUGGGGGAAAGCUGGUCUGAGAGGACGACCAGCCACACGGGGACU